rnacentral:rRNA from 1 species
GUCGAGGAUCUUCCGCAAUGCGCGAAAGCGUGACGGAGCGACGCCGCGUGGGUGAUGAAGGCCUUCGGGUUGUAAAGCCCUGUCUCCUGGGAAGAAUGGCGGGAGGUGAAUAGCCAUCUCGUCUGACGCUACCAGGGAAGGAAGCACCGGCUAAAUACGUGCCAGCAGCCGCGGUAAUACGUAUGGUGCGAACGUUGUUCGGAAUCACUGGGCAUAAAGAGCACGUAGGCGGUUGAGCAAGUCCAUUGUGAAAUCCCCCGGCUUAACCGGGGAACUGCAGUGGAUACUACUUGGCUAGAGUGCAGGAGGGGAGAGUGGAAUUCCUGGUGGAGCGGUGAAAUGCGUAGAUAUCAGGAGGAACGCCGGUGGCGAAAGCGACUCUCUGGUCUGUAACUGACGCUGAGGUGCGAAAGCUAGGGGAGCAAACGGGAUUAGAAACCCCAGUAGUCC